CUUCUUCGGGCUCUAGCCAGACUCUCCAGAGACAGGGUUGCAUUCCCUUUCCAGUAUGGUCCAUGGAAAACAUGCAGAGGAAAUGGCCCCACAGCAUUGGCUGAGUGUUUAUGUCAUCCAACCGAGUCUCCAUCGAACUGUUGUGGUGUUGCUGACUUGCCCUAGGUCACUUGAGUUAAAUGGGUUGGAUUCCCUUUCCAGUAUGGUCCAUGGAAAACAUGCAGAGGAAAUGGCCCCACAGCAUUGGCUGAGUGUUUAUGUCAUCCAACCGAGUCUCCAUCGAACUGUUGUGGUGUUGCUGACUUGCCCUAGGUCACUUGAGUUAAAUGGGUUGGAUUCCCUUUCCAGUAUGGUCCAUGGAAAACAUGCAGAGGAAAUGGCCCCACAGCAUUGGCUGAGUGUUUAUGUCAUCCAACCGAGUCUCCAUCGAACUGUUGUGGUGUUGCUGACUUGCCCUAGGUCACCUGAGUUAAAUGGGUUGCAUUCCCUUUCCAGUAUGGUCCAUGGACAACAUGCAGAGGAAAUGGCCCCACAGCAUUGGCUGAGUGUUUAUGUCGUCCAACCGAGUCUCCAUCGAACUGUUGUGGUGUUGCUGACUUGCCCUAGGUCACCUGAGUUAAAAGGGUUUCAUUCCCUUUCCAGUAUGGUUCAUGGAAAACGUGCAGAGGAAAUUGCCCCACAGCAUUGGCUGAGUGUUUAUGUCGUCCAACCGAGUCUCCAUCCAACUGUUGUGGUGUUGCUGACUUGCCCUAGGUCACCUGAGUUAAAAG
rnacentral:lncRNA from 1 species